rnacentral:piRNA from 1 species
UGAGGUCAAAUAUCAUUCUGAGGAGCUACA